CUUGCCCACGCUGCAACGACAUGUUUUGCGCUUUCUCCAAUGGCUAUAGGUACGUUUGGAUUUUUGUGGUCCACAAAUAGCAGCAAUUCUAUGCUUUCUUGCUUGAUACAGUGUGGCGGAUGACGACUUGCUUCUACUUGUACGGCUGGCCCAUCGGAUCCUCAGCGCUUUCUGUUCAUUUUGGUCGGGAACAAGAUUGAUUUAGAUGGCGGGAGCAAACGGAUGGUCAGUUUUCCUGAAUGCGCAAGCUUUCUCAUAUAUAUAUAUUCGAAAUACCCUGCAGUCUCUUUGCCUUUCCCGCAGGUUCCGGAGAAGAAAGCGAGGGAAUG